rnacentral:rRNA from 1 species
AUAGCGUAUAUUUAAGUUGUUGCAGUUAAAAAGCUCGUAGUUGGAUUUCGGUUAAGUAGCGACCGGUCCGCCGUUUGGUGUGCACUGGUUGGUUUUAACUUCCUGUAGAGGACGUGCUCUGGGCUUAACGGUCUGGACUCGGAGUCUACGUAGUUACUUUGAAAAAAUUAGAGUGUUCAAAGCGGGCUUACGCUUGAAUAUUUCAGCAUGGAAUAACACUAUAGGACUCCUGUCCUAUUUCGUUGGUCUCGGGACGGGAGUAAUGAUUAAGAGGAACAGUUGGGGGCAUUCGUAUUUCAUUGUCAGAGGUGAAAUUCUUGGAUUUAUGAAAGACGAACUUCUGCGAAAGCAUUUGCCAAGGAUGUUUUCAUUAAUCAAGAACGAAAGUUGGGGGCUCGAAGAUGAUUAGAUACCAUCCUAGUCUCAACCAUAAACGAUGCCGACUAGGGAUUGGCGGAUGUUAAUCGAUGACUCCGCCAGCACCUUAUGAGAAAUCAAAGUUUUUGGGUUCCGGGGGGAGUAUGGUCGCAAGGCUGAAACUUAAAGGAA